rnacentral:rRNA from 1 species
CAAUAGCGUAUAUUAAAGUUGUUGCAGUUAAAAAGCUCGUAGUUGGAUUUCUGGUGGGAGCGAUCGGUCUGGCGCUUAGCGCGAGUACUUGCAUCGUCUCCGGCCAUCCUUGGGGAGAGUCUGUCUGGCAUUAGGUUGUCGGGCAGAGGAUCCUCAUCGUUUACUGUGAAAAAAUUAGAGUGUUCAAAGCAGGCUUAUGCCGUUGAAUAUAUUAGCAUGGAAUAAUAAGAUAGGACUUUGGUACUAUUUUGUUGGUUUGCGCACCAAAGUAAUGAUUAAUAGGGACAGUUGGGGGUAUUCGUAUCCCGUUGUCAGAGGUGAAAUUCUUGGAUUUACGGAAGACGAACUACUGCGAAAGCAUUUACCAAGGAUGUUUUCAUUAA